UACGAAGGGGGCUAGCGUUGCUCGGAAUCACUGGGCGUAAAGGGCGCGUAGGCGGCCAUUCAAGUCGGGGGUGAAAGCCUGUGGCUCAACCACAGAAUUGCCUUCGAUACUGUUUGGCUUGAGUAUGGCAGAGGUCAGUGGAACUGCGAGUGUAGAGGUGAAAUUCGUAGAUAUUCGCAAGAACACCAGUGGCGAAGGCGGCUCACUGGCCCGAUACUGACGCUGAGGCACGAAAGCGUGGGGAGCAAACAGG
rnacentral:rRNA from 1 species